UAGAUAUUUCGGCACUGGCCAAGUCUUAUGCUCCAUGUAACUUUACAACGUACCAGUGGAUCGCGCCAAUGCAAAAAUUGAUAUAAAUUGACAAGCUAAUUAUGUGCUAGUCAUUCAUAGGUGGAACUCAAUGCGAUAUCAUAGAAAUAACUACAUAUGAUAUAAAAGAAUAAACCCGUAUUAUCGAAGUGUUAAGGUCCUGAUUACUCAGAAAAAGUAACGUAGUAAUUAAGAAAAAGGGCAUUUAAUCUCUUACCCUUUUAUUUCUCUUUGUCUAUCCCCUAUUAAACCGUAGACUUCCUGUGGAACUGACAAAAGUUUAACAUGAUAUUGUAUAUAAGCAAUGAAGUUCCAUAAGUAGUUGAUCAAGUAUGGGAACACCACAAUUCAGCAAAAAAAAGUCUGGGAACACCACCAUCCAUAUGGGUUUAAGCUGAGGAAAGGAAGGCAUAAGCCUUAGAUACAACAAAGAAAAACUAAGGGUAUGGAAGCCCCAACUACCUCACCAAAAAGAGCUGCGCGAAUGCUGGGCGGGGAGCUAAGGAAGUGGCAGCCAAGAGGUAGAAGGAGAGACCAAUUGGCUAACUGAUCCGCACUAGAGUUGCCUUCACAAUAAGUGUGUUGGACGCGAACCACUUAGUCCCUUGGGAGGAGUUCCUUGAUGGCUCUAACUAAUGACGUCGUCUGAAGAGAACUAGGAGAAGAUCCCAUGACCAAACUCUGAGCGAGGGAGGAAUCAAGCUCGAGGAUUACCUUGCGGCACCCAAGCGAUCAGACAUGCUGCAGCCACGUGAAUACGCCCCACAAUUCCGCAACAAUGGCCGUAGACCAUCCUAAAUUCUGGGCGAAACCUGACACCCAGUGGUAGCUCAUCUCAAACGAUUCCACCAGCACCCGCACGCCCGGGUUACCCCAGGAGGCCCUGUCCAUAUUAAAGUUUAACGGAAUUAAAAUUCCAAAAAUCCUUCAUUCUCUCAGUUUUUCUCCUCCCAAACACACCGUAAUAUUUCUAUCUCAAAAUGGCAAAAUCGGCCUUAGGUGAAUCCCGAAAUUAAUAUACGACACAUAAAUCCAAAUAAGAAUUCCAAUUCAGUGAGAAGUACCUUCUAUUAGUCAAGGUGUUUUAACUGAGACAUAUAUUCAGGAUACUGUUUUCCCCCCUCUUUUUUGGAUUAUAAGAUAUUAUAUAUUAUUUUGUCGGAAAUAUAAGAUUUUUCUUUUAAUUUUUUUCCGUGAAUCACAAGCUAUUAUCUUUUAGAA